AGCAGUCGCCGCGGGAAUACGUAGGGUGCGAGCGUUAAUCGGAAUUACUGGGCGUAAAGCGUGCGCAGGCGGUUGUGUAAGACAGGUGUGAAAUCCCCGGGCUUAACCUGGGAACUGCGCUUGUGACUGCACAGCUAGAGUAUGGCAGAGGGGGGUGGAAUUCCACGUGUAGCAGUGAAAUGCGUAGAGAUGUGGAGGAACACCGAUGGCGAAGGCAGCCCCCUGGGCCAAUACUGACGCUCAUGCACGAAAGCGUGGGGAGCAAACAGGAUUAGAUACCCGAGUAGUCCCUGUCUCUUAUAC
rnacentral:rRNA from 1 species